rnacentral:rRNA from 1 species
UACGUAGGGUGCAAGCGUUGUCCGGAAUUAUUGGGCGUAAAGAGCUCGUAGGCGGUUUGUCGCGUCUGCUGUGAAAACUCGGGGCUUAACUCCGGGCCUGCAGUGGGUACGGGCAGACUAGAGUCAGGUAGGGGAGAACGGAAUUCCUGGUGUAGCGGUGAAAUGCGCAGAUAUCAGGAGGAACACCGGUGGCGAAGGCGGUUCUCUGGGCCUGUACUGACGCUGAGGAACGAAAGCGUGGGGAGCGAACAGG